rnacentral:rRNA from 1 species
GUACACUCCUGCGGGAGGCAGCAGUGGGGAAUUUUGGACAAUGGGCGAAAGCCUGAUCCAGCAAUGCCGCGUGAGUGAAGAAGGCCUUCGGGUUGUAAAGCUCUUUUGUCAGGGAAGAAACGGUGAAAGCUAAUAUCUUUUGCUAAUGACGGUACCUGAAGAAUAAGCACCGGCUAACUACGUGCCAGCAGCCGCGGUAAUACGUAGGGUGCAAGCGUUAAUCGGAAUUACUGGGCGUAAAGCGUGCGCAGGCGGUUUUGUAAGUCUGAUGUGAAAUCCCCGGGCCCAACCUGGGAAUUGCAUUGGAGACUGCAAGGCUAGAAUCUGGCAGAGGGGGGUAGAAUUCCACGUGUAGCAGUGAAAUGCGUAGAUAUGUGGAGGAACACCGAUGGCGAAGGCAGCCCCCUGGGUCAAGAUUGACGCUCAUGCACGAAAGCGUGGGGAGCAAACAGGAUUAGAUACCCGGGUAGUCCCAUGA